UAAUAUAGACUUCGCCGCUACACACCUCC
rnacentral:piRNA from 1 species